ensembl:snRNA U6 U6 spliceosomal RNA
GUGCUCGCUCUGGCAGCACCUAUUCUAAAACCGGAAUGGUAGAGAGAAGAUUAUCAUGGACCCUACACUAGAAUGAUAUGCAAAUCUGUACAUUAUAGUUUAU